ACUAGGGAUCGCACCCGGGCCCCCUGCAUUGGAAGCGUGGAGUCUUAACCAGUGAAUCAUCAGGGAAGUCCCAAACAUUUUUUUAAAAGGCCCAAGGUUAGAACGUUGUGGUGAAACUGGUAAAAUCCAAAUAAAGUCUGGAAUUUAGUUCAUAGAAUUAUGCGAUUGUUAAUCUCUCAAUUUUGAAAAAUGAACGUAGUUAGGUGAGUUAACAGUCAAGAAAUUUGGGUGAAGAGUAAUGAGACUCUCUGUAUUGUCUUUACAACUUUCUGUAAGUCUAAAAUUUUUCCAAAAUAAAAAGCUUAUUUUUAAAAAAGUCCCCAAGGAAUAUAGGCUCUGGACACUGGAUCCUACUCUAAGUUACUACUUUUGAGUUUAUACUUUCGUAAGUUAUGUUAAAGCCAGUCCCUUUCCUGUGAGUGGCGGUGAGCAUGUUAAACUUCUAGUCUAUUGUCACAUCUGUUGUACACAGCUGGCUUUUAUUUCCACAUGGGUUCAGGUUUUAACUUCAUUUUUGUGGGGCCCUACACUGUUUCUUAGGAAGAACUCGCCUUAAGAGGCUGUUAUGGACUGAACGUUGUAUCCCCUCAAAAUUUAUUUGUUGAAAUACUAGCUCCCAAGUUGAUGGUAUUAGGAGGUGGGGCCUUUGGGAGGGGAUUAGGUCAUGCAGGUAGAGCCCUCAUGAAUGGGAUUAGUGCCCUUAUAAAAGAGACCCCAGAGAGAUCUCUUGCUUUUUUGGUCAUGUGAGAGCACAGCCAGAAGCUGGCUGUCUGUGAACCAGGAAGCUGGCCCUCACCAGACACCAAGUCUGUUGGUACCUUGAUCUUGGACUUCCUAGCUUCUAGAACUAUAAGAAAUAAAUAUUUGUUAUUUAAGCCAUCCUGUCUAUGGUAUUUUUGUUAUAGCAGCCUGAAUGGACUAAGAGGCUCAGAUACUUUGAAAAUCUUAAACCACCAAUUUUUUUCUUAACAAAAGAAUUUAUCACCUGUAUUCAAGCAGAGACUGAGGUGGAGGGGAAGCAGAUAGAUUCUAUUCUGGGCAAGCUUUGUGUUUAGUGGGCAUUGGUGAAAAUUUAUAAAUUCCUCCUACCUCUGAUUUCUCUGCCUUUUCAUGUAUGAGCACAGCACACCUUUAGGGCAGAGACCUCCAAGCCUGUUCAGCUGGAAGCUGACUGUCAUUUCCUAGGCUGGCUACUAGAGGGCAGUGUGAUACAUCUUUUCUGGACUGGGGAAGCAGGGCACUGGGUCCAUGCACAUUUUCCAAAAUAAUAAGACCUAGAAUCUUUCAAAGAUAUAGGUGGCUAAAUUCAGUUGCAUAUUCUUCCACUUCUUAUCCCUACCUUAGAUCCAGAAAUAUAAUCCUAUUUUCAAUAUGGUAAAGAUUUUCAAGAGAGAAACGUAGUAUUUAGGUUUUGACCAGAAUCUCCCUUACUUGGGCUUUGGAAACCUUUCUCUCCAUGGAAGACUUUUUUUUUUUUAAUUUUUAAAUCAUAUUCAGAUCCUCUUGUUCUUCUUCCUUUCCUAUGCCUUCUUCAGCCUGAAGUUUAGACUUAAGGAGCAGUGAGCACUACUAAAAACUACUGAAUUGUACACUUUAAAAGAGAACAUUUUAUGGUAUGUGAAUUAUAUCUCAAAAAAUAUAAAGGGCAAAAAACAGCAGUGAGCAGACGCUGUAGCUCAAAUAGAAUGUAAUUAAUUGAUUUUACUGAUUUGAGAAGUCUUAAUGCUUUGCCAUUGGUUCAUUAGCAAGAGGGCAAUACUCUGAUCUCUUUUUUCCUCAGGUAUCUUGGAACACAUUGACCUAGGACACAGAGAGCGUCGUUCCUUUCUAAAGAGGUUACUCACCCUAGUCAAAGAGCUGGACUAGGGUCAGGGUGUGCCUGGGGAAUCCCAGUGAGAAGGCGGAGUCGAGGCUGUGAGUGAAUGUGGUUUUGCUCCCCUGGCCUGACUUAGAGCUUACUAAAGGCGGAGACCACAGUCUCCAGCAUCCAACACGAAGCCUGCCCUGUAGGAGACACGGAGCGGAACCAGCAGGCCUCUUUUCCUUGCCUUUUGGGACCAGAAAGCAGUGAACCAGGAUGGGACAUGCCUCUUCAGAGUCAGACACACACAGGUGUCUUAAAGAGGAACAUGCAUCUCUGAGUCUGUCAUCAAAAUUUUUAUUCCAAGUCUGCAUGACAUGAGGAUUGUUGGAUUUCUGUCCUUUCGGUGUUUAUGGAGGACACAAAAAAGAAUUACUAUGAGUAAAUAAACAGAAGAUUAAAGGCCUUUCUCUAUGGGGGCACCGUUUAUGAGGCAGCAAGCCAGGAGACUUGUUUCUGGGAUUUUGUGAUGCUGCUGCAGCCGUGAACCACAUCCCAUUUCUGAGUUGUUGCAGUUGGAGCUCCUCAGCUUCUGAGUCUUCGCAUCCAGAGGCUCUGAUCUCAGCCCAUGUGUAUGUUCUGGGAGUGUCCCUGCCAGCACACAGCUCCCCCUGCAAAUUAUUUCAGGCCCUAAAGGAAAUGGGCAACUUGGGAGUCAGAAGGUAAAUAAAAAAUGGGAAAUCCCCAGCCGGACCUGCUCUCCUGGCUUCAAGGGGUGAGUAUUCCAAGACUUCAACUUUGAACUUGAUGUUGUAUAUUUAUUUCUCAUUUGAUUCUCAUGUAAUGAGACUCUUUGCCGUGCCAUGAGAAUAAUGCCCAAGGAAGCCAGGCUUAUCAUCAUCAUUUUACAGAUGAGAAACGGAGGCAGAAUCAAGGCCACUUGUGCAGUAUACCCCAGGUAGUAAGUGGUGGACUGAGGUUUAAGGCCAGGUGAGGCAAAUGCCAUUUUGUUCUCACUUCUACCCUGGCCUUCCCGCUAGCCUAGGCAAGCUACAUAGCUGUGUCAGCGUGGGAAGAGCUGGGGAUGAUGGGGACCUGCUUUUCCUGGGAAUUCUGAACAACCCAGGCCCCACCCAUGCCCUCCGUAUCCAGGCCUGCUGUGGGCGUCAUUCAGAACUCUGUCUGCUGUGCUACUGUUGACAUCCUGCCUCGGUGCCUCUGCAUCUUCUCCUCACCUUCCCUGCUGCGGGCGCUGAGUUUACAGCACAGUACCCAGGGGCCAUUGUUGGGGGUGUGGCUCUAGACCCGACUGCAAGCCCCUGUAUCAGCUCCCCAUUGCCUUGUAACACAUUAUCAUACACUUCAGGAUCUUAAAAUACAGGUUUAGUAUCUCACACCCUUUCUGUGGGUCAGGAACUCAGGAAUGGCUUAGCAGGGUGGUUUUGGUUCCAGGUCUCUCAUGAGGCUGCAGCCAAGAUCGGCUUUCGAGCCAGGGCUGCAUCAUCUGAAGGCCUGACUGUGGCCGGAGGAGCCACUUCCAAGAUGGCACACUCACACGCCUCGGUUCCUUGCUGUGUGGGCCUCUCCGUAGGACUGCUUGAGUGUCUUCACAGUAUGGCUGCUGCCAGAGUGAGUGAUCCAACAGAGAGCAAGGAGGAAGCUGCAGUGUUCUUUAUGGCCUAGUAUCUGAAGUCACACUGUCACUUCUGCCACGUUUUUGUUGUUAGAAGCAAGUCACUAAGUCUGGCCCCACACGAGUGGAGGGGACUUCGUUUUUAGAAGGGAGGAGUGUCAUAAAAGAUCGUGUUGUCGUAAUCCUUAAACAAUUCUGCAAGAUGGGGAAAGAGAGGUUCAGAGAAGUUAGGUAACUUGCUCAGGAACACACAGCUAGUCAGCAGCUGUGGAUUCAAAUCAGGCUUUCCUUUUCUGCC